GAGGGCUCCAAGAACGUGUUGGCUGAGUUGCAGCUGGAUGAAUUUCAGAAUGUGAAAUAUCUCGGCCUGAAACACUUUGAUUCAUUAGUACAUAUCCACUGUCAAAAUAAUAUUUCAUUCCCCAAACUUGAAAGACUGGAGGUAAGAAAGUGUCGUUGUCUACAGUAUGUUUUUUGUGUGUCCUUGGCUGGAGGGAGUUUGAAAGUAGCCUGCCCUGAUGAUGAGGAAGAGGAGAUCUCUCGGAGGACACGUGAAGUAAUCAAGUUCCCCAAUUUAUAUGAUUUGAACCUUCAAUCUCUGGAAUGCCUCACUCACUUUUGC
rnacentral:misc_RNA from 1 species